rnacentral:rRNA from 1 species
AACGAACGCUGGUGGCAUGCCUAACACAUGCAAGUCGAACGAGACCUUCGGGUCUAGUGGCGCACGGGUGCGUAACGCGUGGGAACCUGCCCUUAGGUUCGGAAUAACUCCCCGAAAGGGGUGCUAAUACCGGAUAAUGUCUUCGGACCAAAGAUUUAUCGCCUUUGGAUGGGCCCGCGUUGGAUUAGCUAGUUGGUAGGGUAAAAGCCUACCAAGGCGACGAUCCAUAGCUGGUCUGAGAGGAUGAUCAGCCACACUGGGACUGAGACACGGCCCAGACUCCUACGGGAGGCAGCAGUGGGGAAUAUUGGACAAUGGGCGAAAGCAUGAUCCAGCAAUGCCGCGUGAGUGAUGAAGGCCUUAGGGUUGUAAAGCUCUUUUACCCGGGAUGAUAAUGACAGUACCGGGAGAAUAAGCUCCGGCUAACUCCGUG